AGUAACGGCGAGUGAAGCGGGAAGAGCUCAAAUUUAAAAUCUGGCAGUGUAUUCUGUCCGAGUUGUAGUCUAGAGAAGCAUCAUCCGUGCUGGACCAUGUACAAGUCUCUUGGAACAGAGCGUCAUAGAGGGUGAGAAUCCCGUCCUUGACAUGGACUCCCAGUACUUUGUGUUGUGCUCUCAGCGAGUCGAGUUGUUUGGGA
rnacentral:rRNA from 1 species